rnacentral:rRNA from 1 species
GAAAGUAAAGAAGGGCGCAUGGCGGAUGCCUUGGCUCUCGGAGGCGAUGAAGGACGUGAUAAGCUGCGAUAAGCUCCGGGGAGGUGCAAAUAACCUUUGAUCCGGGGAUUUCCGAAUGGGACAACCCGGCGUGUUGAAGACACGCCACCUGAUCAUUUCAGGAGCUAACGCAGGGAACUGAAACAUCUUAGUACCUGCAGGAAAAGAAAAUAACAAUGAUUCCCCCAGUAGUGGCGAGCGAACGGGGAAUAGCCCAAACCGUUCAUGUUACGGCAUGAUCGGGGUUGUAGGACUACGUCGUUGCAUGAAGACAUCGGAGAAGAACUUUCUGGAAAGAAAGACCAUAGAGCAUGACAGUUGCGUAUUCGUAUGUUGUCGAAGCAUAGUAGUAUCCUGAGUAGCGCGGAGCACGAGGAAUUCUGCGUGAAUCUGCCGGGACCAUCCGGUAAGGCUAAAUACUCCCGAGAGACCGAUAGCGAACCAGUACCGUGAGGGAAAGGUGAAAAGCACUUCGAACAGAAGAGUGAAAUAGUUCCUGAAACCGUGCGCCUACAAGCGGUCGGAGCUGCUUAAAGCAGUGACGGCGUGCCUUUUGCAUAAUGAACCUACGAGUUGCCUUUGCCGGCAAGGUUAAGUGUGACGACACACGUAUCCGAAGCGAAAGCGAGUCUGAAGAGGGCGUAUAGUCGGCAGUGGCAGACGCGAAACCAAGUGAUCUACCCUUGGCCAGGUUGAAGGCUGGGUAACACCAGCUGGAGGACCGCACCAAUAAGCGUUGAAAAGCUUCUGGAUGAGCUGAGGGUAGGGGUGAAAGGCUAAUCAAACUUGGAGAUAGCUCGUACUCCCCGAAAUGCAUUUAGGUGCAGCCUUGUGGGUUACUGAUGUGAGGUAGAGCGACUGAUAAGAUGCGAGGGCUUCACCGCCUAUCAAGUCUUGACAAACUCCGAAUGCGCAUCAGUUUUACCUCAGGAGUGAGGGCAUGGGUGCUAAGGUCCGUGCCCGAGAGGAGAAGAAUCCGGACCACCUGCUAAGGUCCCGAAAUGACAGCUAAGUUAAACUAACGAAGUCUGACUGCUAAGACAGCUAGGAUGUUGGCUUGGAAGCAGCCAUUCAUUUAAAGAGUGCGUAACAGCUCACUAGUCGAGGAGUCUGGCGUGGAUAAUAAUCGGGUAUUAAGUUGUCUACCGAAGCAGUGGGAUCAUUGAAAUGAUCGGUAGGGGAGCAUUCCAGUCAGCGUCGAAGGCGUACCGCGAGGUAUUCUGGAGCGUCUGGAAAAGCAAAUGUAGGUAUAAGUAACGAUAAAGGGGGCGGGAAACCCCCUCGCCGAAAGACUAAGGUUUCCUGAUCAACGCUAAUCGGAUCAGGGUAAGUCGGGUCCUAAGGCUCAGCCGAAGGGCGAUGCCGAUGGCAGAAACGGUUAAUAUUCCGUUACUACCUCCAGGAGUGAUGUGGAGACGCAGUAGUGACAAUGCCGCCAUCUGACGGAAUAGAUGGUUGAAGGGUGUAGAUGUUGAUCUUGGCAGGCAAAUCCACCAUGAGAAUCGAACCUGAUAGUAUGCCGCGUCCCUCGGGACAAGGCAAUAGUGCAUGUAAUCAUGCUGCCAAGAAAAUCCGCUAAACUAAAUCCUGUAGGUACCCGUACCGUAAACGGACACACGUAGUCGGGAUGAAUAUUCUAAGGCGCUUGAGUGAUUCACGGUUAAGGAACUAGGCAAACUGACCCUGUAACUUCGGGAUAAAGGGUCCCUACCCGGUGACGGGAGGGCGCAGAGAAUAGGUCCAGGCAACUGUUUAACAAAAACACAGGGCUGUGCGAAAUCGAAAGAUCCUGUAUACAGCCUGACACCUGCCCGGUGCUGGAAGGUUAAGAGGAGACGUCAUCGUUGAGAGAAGCGUUGAAUUGAAGCCCCAGUAAACGGCGGCCGUAACUAUAACGGUCCUAAGGUAGCGAAAUUCCUUGUCGGGUAAGUUCCGACCUGCACGAAUGGCGUA